rnacentral:rRNA from 1 species
AACGAACGCUGGCGGCGCGCCUAAUACAUGCAAGUCGAGCGAGAAGACGUAGCAAUACGUUUGUAAAGCGGCGAACGGGUGAGGAAUACAUGGGUAACCUACCCUCGAGUGGGGAAUAACUAGCCGAAAGGUUAGCUAAUACCGCGUACGCUCCUUGGACUUCGGUUCAGGGAGGAAAGCGAUACCGUGGGUAUCGCGCUCUUGGAUGGGCUCAUGUCCUAUCAGCUUGUUGGUGAGGUAACGGCUCACCAAGGCUUCGACGGUAGCUGGUCUGAGAGGACGAUCAGCCACACUGGCACUGCGACACGGGCCAGACUCCUACGGGAGGCAGCAGUAAGGAAUAUUGCGCAAUGGGCGAAAGCCUGACGCAGCGACGCCGCGU